UAAUUGAAGCCAAAUUAGAGGCUUAUCACUGUUAAUGAUAGAAUUGAGUAAAUUUCUCCAAUUAAG
rnacentral:tRNA from 1 species